rnacentral:tRNA from 1 species
GGGGGAGCUCAGUGGUAGAGGGCAUGCCUAGCAUGCAUGAGGUCCUGGGUUCAAUCCCAGUACUUCCA